CAGUAGCCGCGGGAAUACGUAGGGUGCAAGCGUUAAUCGGAAUUACUGGGCGUAAAGCGUGCGCAGGCGGUUUUGUAAGUCUGUCGUGAAAUCCCCGGGCUCAACCUGGGAAUGGCGCUUGUGACUGCAAAGCUAGAGUGCGGCAGAGGGGGAUGGAAUUCCGCGUGUAGCAGCGAAAUGCGUAGAUAUGCGGAAGAACACCAGUGGCGAAGGCGGCUCACUGGCUCAUUCUAGACGCUGAGGUGCGAAAGCGUGGGGAGCAAACAGGAUUAGAUACCCGUGUAGUCCCUGUCUCUUAUAC
rnacentral:rRNA from 1 species